rnacentral:misc_RNA from 1 species
CAACCCUCAAGCCUAGCUUGGUAUUGGGCGUCACCUGGCAAUGGUGCACCUUAAAAUCAGUAGCGGUACUAUCUGGCUUCAAGCGUAGUAAAACAAUCGCUUUGGAGGUUUGGAUAUGUUGCUUGCUGUUAACCCCUAAUUUAUUCAAA